GUGGCGUGUAGAGAGAGAGGGAGAAGAAGAAAGAAAGAAAGAAAGAAGAAGAAGGUGAAGAGGAACCCAUCUUAGAGCUUGAACAAGGGUGUGAAGUUUGGGUGUUGAUCUUAUUGUGUUCUUGAUUUUACAAUCAAGAGAGGUAGCAAAUAGGAUUUCUUUAUGGCACGCGUGGUGACGUGAGGAGUUCUAUCAUCAUGGGGUGUAUGGCGUGGGGUAAUCCUAUGGACGGAAAAAUGAUCAACGUAGAACGCCAUUUAAAUUAUGUUUUGUUUUUAAGAGACUUUCCUAAAUUAUCAGUGGGACUCAGUUAUUUAAUUUUUGGUUUCUUUGAACUUUGCAUAAAAAUCUAUGUUUUAUUUUUAAACUUAUGGCGCCAACUUGCAUGGUUUUAAACAAGUCCCCCUGAGACUUUGAUAAUGAAUGGUAUUCUUUCAUAAACUAUGUUAUGCGAAUGUUUUGUAAGUAUUAGUCUAGGGCGUUCAUUACACCUUUGGAGGACUUCGAUUAUUUUGAGGAAAAAGGCUUGGGAAUUGAAGGGAAUAAAAGCUAGGAUGUGAUUAACAGCAGCACAGGGGUGUGAUUCCUCAUUGAGGUUAUCGAUAGGGCUCGGGAGAGGGUCGUUCCAGGAGUCGUGUUUGCUUUUGCUUGGACCAAAGGUAAGAAAACUGU